UACGUAGGGGGCAAGCGUUAUCCGGAUUUACUGGGCGUAAAGCGUCCGUAGGUGGUUUGUUAAGUCAGGGGUGAAAUCCCAGGGCCCAACCCUGGAACUGCCUUUGAUACUGGCAAGCUGGAGCGUGAUAGAGGAAGAUGGAACAUCUGGUGUAGGGGUGAAAUCCGUAGAUAUCAGAUAGAACACCAAUGGCGAAGGCAGUCUUCUGGAUCAUUGCUGACACUGAGGGACGAAAGCGUGGGUAGCAAACAGA
rnacentral:rRNA from 1 species